UACGUAGGGGGCGAGCGUUAUCCGGAUUCAUUGGGCGUAAAGCGCGCGCAGGCGGGCUUGCAAGCGGGGCCUUUAAUCUUGGGGCUUAACCUCAAGUCGGGUUCCGAACUGCAAGCCUCGAGUGUGGUAGGGGAAGGCGGAAUUCCCGGUGUAGCGGUGGAAUGCGCAGAUAUCGGGAAGAACACCGAUGGCGAAGGCAGCCUUCUGGGCCACUACUGGCGCUGAGGCGCGAAAGCUGGGGGAGCGAACAGG
rnacentral:rRNA from 1 species